rnacentral:rRNA from 1 species
AUUGAACGCUGGCGGCAGGCCUAACACAUGCAAGUCGAGCGAGCGGCGGACGGGUGAGUAAUGUCUGGGAAACUGCCUGAUGGAGGGGGAUAACUAAUGGAAACGGUAGCUAAUACCGCAUACCAUCAGAUGUGCCCAGAUGGGAUUAGCUAGUAGGUUGGGUAACGGCUCACCUAGGCGACGAUCCCUAGCUGGUCUGAGAGGAUGACAAGCCACACUGGAAUUGAGACACGGUCCAGACUCCUACGGGAGGCAGCAGUGGGGAAUAUUGCACAAUGGGCGCAAUCCUGAUGCAGCCAUGCCGCGUGGGUGAAGAAGGCCUGCGGGUUGUAAAGCACUUUCAGCGGGGAGGCGUUACCCGAAGAAGAAGCACCGGCUAACUCCGUGCCAGCAGCCGCGGUAAUUC